UGCGCACAUACCUCUUUGAUUUUUUUCCUGUGCCUUUCUCCUCACACACACACGCGCGCGCGAACUGAAAAUCAGGCUGAAAGGAUUUUUGCUCUUCGCACUUCUUCUUUUCUCGUUAUCUGCCGCUUCUCACAUCUCUCCGUCUCCCUCUCUAGUUUAUAUAUAUAUAUAUAUUCUAGUAUUCCUCCAAAAACAGACACAGAAGGGAAAAAAACAGCAUGCCGUACGUCGCGUCUAUUGACCAGGGCACCACCUCUAGUCGGUGCAUCAUCUUCGACGAAAAAUUCACCGUCCUCUCAGCCCACCAGCUCUUCCAUAAACAGAUCACGCCGCGUCCUGGGUGGCUGGAGCACGAUCCGGAAGAGAUUUACAGCAACUGUUGCCUCUGCCUUGCAGAGGCGCUGAAGAAGCUGCGCUCAAAAGACCCCAAGUUCGACAAAGUGUCCGCGAUAGGUAUCACGAACCAGCGUGAGACAGGUGUCGCCUGGGACCGCAAGACCGGGAAGCCGCUGUGCAACGCCAUUGUGUGGAGCGACGCCCGUACCUAUGAAUUGAGCAACCGCAUCGCAAAGGAAUGUGGUGGCGGCGACAGCAACUUUGCCGCCAGUAUUACUGGCUUGCCCGUAAGCACCUACUUCACCGCCUUCAAGUUCCGCUGGAUGCUGGAAAAUGUCCCAGCCGUCGCCGCCGCGCGCAAGAGCGGCUCGCUACUCCUCGGCACUAUCGAGACGUGGCUGCUGUGGAAGCUGAGCGAGGGCAAGGUGUUUGUGACGGAUGUGUCAAACGCCAGCCGCACCUUCCUAAUGAACCUGAGGACGCAGCAGUGGUGCGACAAGCUCUGCCAGGAGCUCGACAUUCCACGCGCGACACUGCCGGAGAUUCGCAGCAACAGCGAGCACUACUGCAAUGUCUCGGCCAACGAUCACGGCAUCCGCGAUGCUCUCGGCAUGCCGACGCCCGUGACGGGCUGCAUUGGUGACCAGCAGAGUGCCCUGUUCGGUCACAUAGGCCUGAACAAGGGUGAUGCCAAGAACACCUACGGCACGGGCUGCUUCGUGCUCAUGAACGUGGGCACGGAGCCGCAGUUCUCGAAGCACGGUCUGCUCGGCACCAUUGCGUACAAACUGGGUACCGAGCCGACCAAAUUUGCCCUGGAGGGCUCCAUUGCGGGCGCUGGCGCCACAGUGGAAUGGAUGCGGUCCAACCUUGGCUUCUUCGACCACCCCAUGGAGAUGGAGAGCAUCGCCCGCAAAGUGGGCAGCACAGACGGAGUCGUGUUUGUGCCUGCCUUCGGCGGUCUUCUCGCCCCGUACUGGGACCCGACGGCUCGUGGCACCCUUGUGGGCAUGACGUACAAAACGAAUAAGUCGCACAUAAUCCGCGCCGCCCUCGAGGCCAUCUCCAUGCAGGUGAGCGCAGUGAUGCUUGCUAUGAAAGAGGACAGCGGCGUUGAGAUCAACUGCCUGCGCGUCGACGGUGGGCUCACGCGUAGUCGCCUGCUCAUGGAGAUGCAGGCCGACAUCCUGGGUGUGAACCUUUACGUGCCGCAUCUCACCGAGACGACCGCCCUUGGCGCAGCCCUUUGCGCUGGCCUGGCCGUCGGCGUCUGGAAGUCUAUCGAGGAGGUACAGAAGACGGCCAAGGAGCACCUUAGCGGUGAGACUGUGAGCCCCAUCACGACAGAUGAACAAGUGCGCAAGGCUCGCCUGGAGGCCUGGAACGCCGCCGUGAAGCUGUCGCAAUGGGCGAAGCUGUAAGCAAGCAGAGAGCCAAAGAGUAGGUGCUUUAGUGACUUCUCUUGUCCUCCACCUCCAUGACUUUCCACGCUUACCUUUCAUGUUUGCUCGGUCUACUCUCAAUACUGUGCAGUCGCGAAUACGAUAGCAGCAGGAACGAAAGCACGCCCCGAAAGGAUACAGCGUCAGAGGAGGAAAAGUGUGCUCAUUUUUUUACAUUUCCUUUUGCGCGUGUGCGUGGGUGUGUGCAUGAAUGCGCUUUACUGUUCUUGUUUCCGUGCUCUCUGCCUUUUGGUUUCCCUUGUGGCUGCUCUGUUCUCUGGUUCUCCCGUCCCUAGCGCCUUGUCUGUUUCGUGUUCACCGAAAAAGGGAUGACGGCUUCUCCACGCCGACGACGACUACAGCGGGCGAAAGCGCUUCCCCUCCUCCGCCUUUGUUUUUGUGUCUACUCUUCCUUGUUGCUUAUCGAUGCUUUCUUCCUCUCUUUUUUUUUUCGCUCCCCCCUUCACUCACCCUUGUUCUACUGCUCUGGGUCCUUUUGCAUGGCUGUCGUACUCGAAUUUCACGGGCUGAUGUGUGUGUUUGUGUGUGUGCCUGUAUCUGCGUGCGUCAGCAGGCAGCGUCUCGGGCCCUUCUCCAAACGGGUGAGGACUGUGCGCAGCUAUUCGGUCAUCGACCCGUACUUGGAGACUUACACAUGCGAGAAGUCCCCUCCGCCG
rnacentral:misc_RNA from 1 species